rnacentral:rRNA from 1 species
GAUGAACGCUGGCGGCGUGCCUAAUACAUGCAAGUCGAGCGAACAGACGAGGAGCUUGCUCCUCUGACGUUAGCGGCGGACGGGUGAGUAACACGUGGAUAACCUACCUAUAAGACUGGGAUAACUUCGGGAAACCGGAGCUAAUACCGGAUAAUAUAUUGAACCGCAUGGUCCAAUAGUGAAAAACGGUUUUGCUGUCACUUAUAGAUGGAUCCGCGCCGCAUUAGCUAGUUGGUAAGGUAACGGCUUACCAAGGCAACGAUGCGUAGCCGACCUGAGAGGGUGAUCGGCCACACUGGAACUGAGACACGGUCCAGACUCCUACGGGAGGCAGCAGUAGGGAAUCUUCCGCAAUGGGCGAAAGCUUGACGGAGCAACGCCGCGUGAGUGAUGAAGGUCUUCGGAUCGUAAAACUCUGUUAUUAGGGAAGAACAAAUGUGUAAGUAACUAUGCACGUCUUGACGGUACCUAAUCAGAAAGCCACGGCUAACUACGUG